GGAGAGGUGCCAGAGCGGUUGAAUGGGCUGGUCUCGAAAACCAGUAUGGCCCUAGUGGUCAUCGCGAGUUCGAAUCUCGCCCUCUCCGCCA
rnacentral:tRNA from 1 species